rnacentral:rRNA from 1 species
GAUGAACGCUGGCGGCGUGCCUAAUACAUGCAAGUCGAGCGAAUGGAUUAAGAGCUUGCUCUUAUGAAGUUAGCGGCGGACGGGUGAGUAACACGUGGGUAACCUGCCCAUAAGACUGGGAUAACUCCGGGAAACCGGGGCUAAUACCGGAUAACAUUUUGAACCGCAUGGUUCGUAAUUGAAAGGCGGCUUCGGCUGUCACUUAUGGAUGGACCCGCGUCGCAUUAGCUCGUUGGUGAGGUAACGGCUCACCAAGGCAAAGAUGCGUAGCCGACCUGACAGGGUGAUCGGCCACACUGGGACUGAGAGACGGCCCAGACUCCUACGGGAGGCAGGAGGAGGGAAUCUUCCGCAAUGGACGAAAGUCUGACGGAGCAACGCCGCGUGAGUGAUGAAGGCUUUCGGGUCGUAAAACUCUGUUGUUAGGGAAGAACAAGUGCUAGUUGAAUAAGCUGGCACCUUGACGGUACCUAACCAGAAAGCCACGGCUAACUACGUGCCAGCAGCCGCGGUAA